UACAGAGGCCACGAGCGUUAGGCGGAAUCACUGGGCUUAAAGCGUGUGUAGGUGGAUGACUAAGUACCUUGUGAAAUCCCACGGCUCAACCGUGGAACUGCUUGGUAUACUGGUUGUCUUGAGGCACUCAGGGGCGAGCGGAACAAAUGGUGGAGCGGUGAAAUGCGUAGAUAUCAUUUGGAACGCCAAUGGUGAAGACAGCUCGGCUGGGGGUGAUACUGACACUGAGACACGAAAGCCAGGGGAGCGAACG
rnacentral:rRNA from 1 species